rnacentral:rRNA from 1 species
AUUGAACGCUGGCGGCAGGCCUAACACAUGCAAGUCGAACGGUAGCACAGAGAGCUUGCUCUCGGGUGACGAGUGGCGGACGGGUGAGUAACGUCUGGGAAACUGCCCGAUGGAGGGGGAUAACUACUGGAAACGGUAGCUAAUACCGCAUAACGUCGCAAGACCAAAGUGGGGGACCUUCGGGCCUCACACCAUCGGAUGUGCCCAGAUGGGAUUAGCUAGGAGGUGGGGUAAUGGCUCACCUAGGCGACGAUCCCUAGCUGGUCUGAGAGGAUGACCAGCCAAACUGGAACUGAGACACGGUCCAGACUCCUACGGGAGUCAGCAGUGGGGAAUAUUGCACAAUGGGCGCAAGCCUGAUGCAGCCAUGCCGCGUGUAUGAAGAAGGCCUUCGGGUUGUAAAGUACUUUCAGCGGGGAGGAAGGCGGUGAAGUUAAUAACUUCACCGAUUGACGUUACCCGCAGAAGAAGCACCGGCUAACUCCGUGCCAGCAGCCGCCGUAA